UACGUAGGGGGCAAGCGUUGUCCGGAAUCAUUGGGCGUAAAGAGCGUGUAGGCGGCCCGAUAAGUCCGCCGUGAAAGUCCAGGGCUCAACCCUGGAAUGCCGGUGGAAACUGUCGGGCUGGAGUCCGGAAGAGGCGAGUGGAAUUCCUGGUGUAGCGGUGAAAUGCGCAGAUAUCAAGAGGAACACCUGAGGUGAAGACGGGUUGCUGGGCCAACACUGACGCUGAGGCGCGAAAGCCAGGGGAGCAAACGGG
rnacentral:rRNA from 1 species